UAUACAGGUGUUGCAUGGUUGUCGUCAGCUCGUGUCGUGAGAUGUUGGGUUAAGUCCCGCAACGAGCGCAACCCCUACGUUUAGUUGCUAACGCGUGAAGGCGAGCACUCUAGACGAACUGCCGUUGACAAAACGGAGGAAGGUGGGGAUGACGUCAAAUCAUCAUGCCCCUUAUGUUCUGGGCUACACACGUGCUACAAUGGCCGGUACAGACGGACGCAAAGCCGCGAGGUGGAGCAAAUCCUAAAAAGCCGGUCUCAGUUCGGAUUGCAGGCUGCAAUUCGCCUGCAUGAAGUCGGAAUCGCUAGUAAUCGCAGGUCAGCAUACUGCGGUGAAUACGUUCCCGGGCCUU
rnacentral:rRNA from 1 species